rnacentral:tRNA from 1 species
GCCUGGGUGGCUCAGAUGGUUAAGUAUCCGACUUCAGCUCGGGUCCUGAUCUCGCGGUUCACGGGUUCGAGUCCCGCCUCGGGCU